rnacentral:rRNA from 1 species
UACGGAGGGUGCAAGCGUUACCCGGAAUCACUGGGCGUAAAGGGCGUGUAGGCGGCUCGAUAAGUCUGCUGUGAAAGUCCAGGGCUCAACCCUGGGAUGCCGGUGGAUACUGUCGAGCUCGAGUCCGGAAGAGGCGAGUGGAAUUCCUGGUGUAGCGGUGAAAUGCGUAGAUAUCAGGAGGAACACCUGCGGUGUAGACGGCUUUCUGGACCAUUGCUGACGCUGAGACACGAAAGCGUGGGUAGCAAACAGG